rnacentral:misc_RNA from 1 species
AAAGUUGUAAUAAGGUCUUUGUUAGUGAACUAGUAGAGGGAUCAUUAUAGAGUUUAACAACUCCUAAACUACUGUAAAUAUACUUGUACUGUUGUCUUAGCAGGCGGCUCUAGGGCGGGGCUGCAGCCUUCCUAGCAGGGGUGCUUGCUGCAGGUUGCAAAACUAUAUUUAUAUUUAGUGGUAUCUUUGAGUAACUUCUAAACAAUUAAAACUUUCAACAAUGGAUCUCUUGGUUCUA